rnacentral:snRNA from 1 species
AAGUAACUUAAGUGCUAGCGUUGGAACAAUCCAGAGAAAAUUAGCAUGGUCUCUGCACAAAGAUAACACACAAAUUUUGAAGCAGUCCAUAUUUUU